rnacentral:rRNA from 1 species
ACAGUGGACGCGAGCAUCUGUGGCCAAGUUUUUAAGGGCGCACGGUGGAUGCCUUGGCACCAGGAACCGAUGAAGGACGUGGGAGCCACGAUAGGCCCCGGGGAGUCGUCAACCAGGCUUUGAUCCGGGGUGUCCGAAUGGGGAAACCCGGCAGUCGUCAUGGGCUGUCACCCUUGCCUGAACACAUAGGGCAAGUGGAGGGAACGCGGGGAAGUGAAACAUCUCAGUACCCGCAGGAAGAGAAAACAACCGUGAUUCCGGGAGUAGUGGGCGAGCGAAACCGGAUGAGGCCAAACCGUAUGCGUGUGAGACCGGCAGGGGUUGCGCAUUCGGGUUGUGGGAUCUCUCUUUCAUGGUCUGCCGGCCAUGAGACGAGUCAGAAACCGUUGAUGUAGGCGAAGGACAUGCGAAAGGUCCGGCGUAGAGGGUAAGCCCCCGUAGUCGAAACGUCAGCGGCUCGUUUGAGAGACACCCAAGUAGCACGGGCCCGAGAAAUCCCGUGUGAAUCUGGCGGGACCACCGCUAAGCCUAAAUAUUCCUGGUGACCGAUAGCGGAUAGUACCGUGAGGGGAAUGGUGAAAAGUACCGCGGGAGCGGAGUGAAAUAGUACCUGAAACCGUGUGCCUACAAGCCGUGGAGCGUCGCGCAAGGACUUGUCCUUGCGUCGUGACUGCGUGCCUUUUUGAAGAAUGAGCCUGCGAGUUGCGGUGUGUUGCGAGGUUAACCCGGGGGGGGAAGCCGUAGCGAAAGCGAGUCCGAACAGGGCGAUUUUAGUAGCACGCUCAAGACCCGAAGCGGAGUGAUCUAGCCAUGGGCAGGUUGAAGCGGAGGUAAGACUUCGUGGAGGACCGAACCCACCAGGUUGAAAACCUGGGGGAUGACCUGUGGUUAGGGGUGAAAGGCCAAUCAAACUCCGUGAUAGCUGGUUCCCCGAAAUGCAUUUAGGUGCAGCGUCGUGUGUUUCUUGCGGAGGUAGAGCACUGGAUAGGCGAUGGGCCCUACCGGGGUUACUGACCUUAGCCAAACUCCGAAUGCCGGUAAGUGAGAGCGCGGCAGUGAGACUGUGGGGGAUAAGCUCCAUGGUCGAGAGGGAAACAGCCCAGAGCAUCGACUAAGGCCCCUAAGCGUACGCUAAGUGGGAAAGGAUGUGGAGUCGCACAGACAACCAGGAGGUUGGCUUAGAAGCAGCCACCCUUGAAAGAGUGCGUAAUAGCUCACUGGUCUAGUGAUUCGCGCCGACAAUGUAGCGGGGCUCAAGCGUACCGCCGAAGUCGUGUCAUUGCAGCAUAUAGCCCUAACGGGUGUUGUGAUGGGUAGGGAGCGUCGUGUGCCGGGUGAAGCCGCGCCGGAAGGCAGUGGUGGACGGUUCACGAGUGAGAAUGCAGGCAUGAGUAGCGAUUCACACGUGAGAAACGUGUGCGCCGAUUGACUAAGGGUUCCUGGGUCAAGCUGAUCUGCCCAGGUAAGUCGGGACCUAAGGCGAGGCCGACAGGCGUAGUCGAUGGGAUAAACCGGUUGAUAUUCCGGUACCCGCUGUGAAGCGUCAAACAUCGAAUCCAGUGAUGCUAAGCCGUGAAGCCGCGGAGUCUUCGGACGAGGUCGGAGUGGUGGAGCCGGUGACCCGAGCUGGUAGUAGUAGUAGGUGAGUGAUGGGGUGACGCAGGAAGGUAGUCCAUUCCCGGCGGUGGUUGUCCGGGGUAAGGGUGUAGGACGUCAGGUAGGCAAUCCGCCUGGCAUGUGUCUGAGACCUGAUGCCGAGCCGAUGUGGUGAAGUGGAUGAUCCUAUGCUGUCGAGAAAAGCCUCUAGCGAGUUUCAUGGCGGCCCGUACCCUAAACCGACUCAGGUGGUCAGGUAGAGAAUACCGAGGCGUUCGGGUGAACUAUGUUAAGGAACUCGGCAAAUGCCCCGUAACUUCGGGAGAAGGGGGCCACACUCGGUGAUCCGAUUUACUCGGUGAGCUGGGGGUGGCCGCAGAGACCAGCGAGAAGCGACUGUUUACUAAAAACACAGGUCCGUGCGAAGCCGUAAGGCGAUGUAUACGGACUGACGCCUGCCCGGUGCUGGAACGUUAAGGGGACCGGUUAGCUCACCUUCGGGUGGGCGAAGCUGAGAACUUAAGCGCCAGUAAACGGCGGUGGUAACUAUAACCAUCCUAAGGUAGCGAAAUUCCUUGUCGGGUAAGUUCCGACCUGCACGAAUGGCGUAACGACUUCUCGACUGUCUCAACCAUAGGCCCGGGUGAAAUUGCACUACGAGUAAAGAUGCUCGUUUCGCGCAGCAGGACGGAAAGACCCCGGGACCUUUACUACAGUUUGAUAUUGGUGUUCGGUUCGGCUUGUGUAGGAUAGCUGGGAGACUGUGAAGCUCGGACGCCAGUUCGGGUGGAGUCGUCGUUGAAAUACCAGUCUGGUCGUGCUGGAUGUCUAACCUGGGUCCGUGAUCCGGAUCAGGGACAGUGUCUGAUGGGUAGUUUAACUGGGGCGGUUGCCUCCUAAAGAGUAACGGAGGCGCCCAAAGGUUCCCUCAGCCUGGUUGGCAAUCAGGUGUUGAGUGUAAGUGCACAAGGGAGCUUGACUGUGAGACCGACGGGUCGAGCAGGGACGAAAGUCGGGACUAGUGAUCCGGCGGUGGCUUGUGGAAGCGCCGUCGCUCAACGGAUAAAAGGUACCCCGGGGAUAACAGGCUGAUCUUCCCCAAGAGUCCAUAUCGACGGGAUGGUUUGGCACCUCGAUGUCGGCUCGUCGCAUCCUGGGGCUGGAGUCGGUCCCAAGGGUUGGGCCUGUUCGCCCAUUAAAGCGGUACGCGAGCUGGGUUUAGAACGUCGUGAGACAGUUCGGUCCCUAUCCGCUGUGCGCGUAGGAGUCUUGAGAAGGGCUGUCCCUAGUACGAGAGGACCGGGACGGACGAACCUCUGGUGUGCCAGUUGUUCUGCCAAGGGCAUGGCUGGUUGGCUACGUUCGGGAGGGAUAACCGCUGAAAGCAUCUAAGCGGGAAGCCUGCUUCGAGAUGAGGACUCCCACCUCCUAGAGAGGGUAAGGCUCCCAGUAGACGACUGGGUUGAUAGGCCGGAUAUGGAAGCACGGUAACGUGUGGAGUUGACCGGUACUAAUAGGCCGAGGGCUUGUCCUCAGUUG